rnacentral:rRNA from 1 species
UGAAGUAAGUAAGGGCGUACGGUGAAUGCCUUGGUGCCAACAGGCGAAGAAGGACGCGGCAAGCUGCGAAAAUCCUCGGGAAGCUGCAAGCAAGCGAUGAUCCGGGGGUAUCCGAAUGGGGUAACCUGAUCGAGGCAAUACUCGAUCGUUCAUACCUGAAUACAUAGGGUAUGAAACGCGAAACCCGCUGAAGUGAAACAUCUCAGUAAGCGGAGGAAAAGAAAGAGAAAUCGAUUCCGUAAGUAGUGGCGAGCGAAAGCGGAUGGAGCCCAAACCGAAGGUACUCCUUCGGGGUUGUAGGACCACGAGAUAUUCGACCAUACUGGAUAGUAGAACAGCCUGGAAAGGCUGGCCGUAGAAGGUGAAAGCCCUGUAGACGAAAUCCAGCGUGGGAAUUAGUGGAAUCCUGAGUAAUACAUCACACGUGGAACGAUGUAUGAAUCAGCGCGGACCACCGCGCAAGGCUAAAUACUAGUUGGCGACCGAUAGUGAACAAGUACCGCGAGGGAAAGGUGAAAAGAACCGCUGUGAGCGGAGUGAAAUAGAACCUGAAACCGUAUGUCUACAAAGUGUCAGAGCAGAGCAAUCUGCGAUGGCGUGCCUUUUGUUUAAUGAGUCUGCGAGUCAGUGUUUGUGGCAAGACUAAGGGCUUCCGGCCCGGAGUCGCAGCGAAAGCAAGUCCGAAUAGGGCGAAUUAAGUCGCAGGUACUGGACCCGAAGCGGAGGUGACCUACCCUUGGCCAGGUUGAAGCAUGGGUAAAACCAUGUGGAGGACCGAACAGGUGAACGUUGAAAAGUUCUCUGAUGAGCUGAGGGUAGGAGUGAAAGGCUAAUCAAACCCCGUGAUAGCUGGUUCUCUUCGAAAUGCAUUUAGGUGCAGCGUCACGUGCUGAUGCGCGGGGGUAGAGCACUGACAAGGCUAGGGGGCACACCCGCUUACCAAACCUUAUCAAACUCCGAAUACCGUGCAAUGGAACGUGGCAGUGAGACAGUGGGGGAUAAGCUUCAUUGUCGAGAGGGAAACAACCCAGACCAGCAGCUAAGGUGCCUAAAUAACGCUCAGUGGAAAGGAUGUGGGAUUACACAGACAGUGAGGAUGUUGGCUUAGAAGCAGCCACCAUUUAAAAAAUGCGUAAUAGCUUACUCAUCGAGUGAUCCUGCGCCGAAAAUGAUUGGCGAUCAAGCGUUAUACCGAAGCUCUGGACUUUACCUUACGGUAGAGUGGUAGAAGAGCGUUGCAUGCGCGUUGAAGGGUGAUGGCGACUGACCCUGGAGCACAUGCAAGUGAGUAUGCAGACAUGAGUAACGUAAAGCCGGGUGAAAUCCCCGGCCGCCGUAAACCCGAGGUUUCCAGGGCAACGUGUUUCGUCCCUGGGUUAGCCGGGACCUAAGCCGAGGCCGAGAGGCGUAGGCGAUGGAUAUCAGGUUAAUAAUCCUGAGCUCGCGACCCUUAAACUGGGGGGACGCAUGAGAAAAGAUGACUAGGUUAUUGAAUUCCGAGUUGAGUCCACGGACUCAGCGCAUCAUUGGAUCGAGUGCCAAGAAAAGCCCCAGCGUAUGCUAAGCGACCCGUACCGCAAACCGACACAGGUGGGUGGGUAGAAUAUACCAAGGCGUAAGAGUGAAACCUGGUUAAGGAACUCGGCAAAUUAGCCCCGUAACUUCGGAAGAAGGGGUGCCUGCAGCGAUGCAGGCCGCAGAGAAAUGGCCCAACCGACUGUUUAUCAAAAACACAGCACUCUGCAAAGACGCAAGUCGAAGUAUAGGGUGUGACACGUGACCAAUGCCGAAAGAUUAAGGCAAGGGGUUAGCCGCAAGGCGAAGCUCUGAACCCAAGUCCCGGUGAAUGUCGGCCGUAACUAUAACGGUCCUAAGGUAGCGAAAUUCCUUGUCAGGUAAGUUCUGACCUGCACGAAACGUGAAACGAGUUGGGCACUGUCUCAACCAGGCGCUCAGUGAAAUUGUAGUGGCGGUGAAGAUGCCGCCUACCCGCAGAAGGACGGAGAGACCCUAUAGACCUUAACUGUAAGCUGUCAUUGUUUCUUCGGUUUUAAUGCUCAGAGUAAGUGGGAGACGCUGAAGACGCCCUUUAGGGGGCGUCGGAGUCAUCAAUGAGACACCACCCUUUGAAACUGGAGGAUCUAACCUGAGCCGUGAAUCCGGCCAGAGGACCGUGUCAGCCGGUCAGUUUUACUGGGGCGGUAUCCUCCCAAAGAGUAACGGAGGAGCGCGAAGGUGGGCUCAGC